rnacentral:lncRNA from 1 species
GUCAUUUUGGUACCGGCCCCGUCCACAGCCGUGGCCGGUGGCCGGAGUUACGAAGAGAGAGAGAGAGAGAGAGAGAGAGAGGCCGACGGGAGAGAGAGAGAGAGAGAAAAAAAAAAUCUGAUUUUUUAUAAAAAUCCCAUUUCGAAAUAGUUACGAUUGUGCCACUGGGUUUCUUUUGACCAUAUCUCUCUCGUUACAACUCUGAUUCGAGCCCACUACGUGUCUAUGAACUCGUCUCAGUACGACCUAUCCAAAAAUACUAGUCACUG